AAAAGUUUACUACUAUAGGUGCCGUGACACGUUCACUUUUAAAAAGUUUUAAAUUAUUAAAAUUCAAUGUAGUGUACUUAAUUACUGUUUUGUAUCUUAAUUUGUGGCUCAGUUGUAGCACUUUGUAAUUUUCACUUAACAACAUUUUUUAAUCAUGUACAUACUGAAGUGCAAGUCAUUGAAGAGGUGGAAAUCGAAAUUCAACCCGAUAAAUUGUUUCCAAAAGAGUUUUGUUGGUAACUCACUUCGCAAUAACUUCAUCCCCCAAGCCACGUUUGAUGCAAUUUGACAACGCAAAGCAUUUCGGCUUUCGAGAUACGUUUUUCCAAAUUCUGUGACUCUGUACUGUACAAAACGCGGCUGAA